rnacentral:rRNA from 1 species
UACGUAGGGUGCAAGCGUUGUCCGGAAUUAUUGGGCGUAAAGAGCUCGUAGGCGGUCUGUUGCGUCGGCUGUGAAAACCCGGGGCUCAACUCCGGGCCUGCAGCCGAUACGGGCAGACUCGAGUCCGGUAGGGGAGUGUGGAAUUCCCGGUGUAGCGGUGAAAUGCGCAGAUAUCGGGAGGAACACCAGUAGCGAAGGCGGCACUCUGGGCCGUGACUGACGCUGAGGAGCGAAAGCGUGGGUAGCAAACAGG